rnacentral:snRNA from 1 species
AUACUCACUUAGGCAGCACAUAUAUUAAAAUUGGAACUAUACAGAGAAGAUUAGCAUGGCCCCUGUGAAAGGAUGACACACAAAUUCAUGAAGUGUAUCUUAGCUAU